rnacentral:rRNA from 1 species
GCUUGGUCAUUUAGAGGAAGUAAAAGUCGUAACAAGGUCUCCGUUGGUGAACCAGCGGAGGGAUCAUUACCGAGUUUACAACUCCCAAACCCAAUGUGAACGUUACCAAACUGUUGCCUCGGCGGGAUCUCUGCCCCGGGUGCGUCGCAGCCCCGGACCAAGGCGCCCGCCGGAGGACCAACCAAAACUCUUAUUGUAUACCCCCUCGCGGGUUUUUUUAUAAUCUGAGCCUUCUCGGCGCCUCUCGUAGGCGUUUCGAAAAUGAAUCAAAACUUUCAACAACGGAUCUCUUGGUUCUGGCAUCGAUGAAGAACGCAGCGAAAUGCGAUAAGUAAUGUGAAUUGCAGAAUUCAGUGAAUCAUCGAAUCUUUGAACGCACAUUGCGCCCGCCAGUAUUCUGGCGGGCAUGCCUGUCCGAGCGUCAUUUCAACCCUCGAACCCCUCCGGGGGGUCGGCGUUGGGGAUCGGCCCUCCCUUAGCGGGGUGGCCGUCUCCGAAAUACAGUGGCGGUCUCGCCGCAGCCUCUCCUGCGCAGUAGUUUGCACACUCGCAUCGGGAGCGCGGCGCGUCCACAGCCGUUAAACACCCAACUUCUGAAAUGUUGACCUCGGAUCAGGUAGGAAUACCCGCUGAACUUAAGCAUAUCAAUAAGCGGAGGA